rnacentral:rRNA from 1 species
UACGUAGGGUCCGAGCGUUGUCCGGAAUUACUGGGCGUAAAGAGCUCGUAGGUGGUUUGUCGCGUUGUUCGUGAAAACUCACAGCUCAACUGUGGGCGUGCGGGCGAUACGGGCAGACGUAGAGUACUGCAGGGGAGACUGGAAUUCCUGGUGUAGCGGUGGAAUGCGCAGAUAUCAGGAGGAACACCGGUGGCGAAGGCGGGUCUCUGGGCAGUAACUGACGCUGAGGAGCGAAAGCGUGGGGAGCAAACAGG